UCCCAUAUUGUCUAGUGGUUAGGAUACCUGGCUCUCACCUAGGAGGACCGGGUUCAAUUCCCGGUAUGGGAA
rnacentral:tRNA from 1 species